GAUGAACGCUAGCGGCAGGCUUAACACAUGCAAGUCGAGGGGCAGCAUGAACCGACCUUCGGAAGGUUGUAUGGCGACCGGCGCAAGGGUGCGUAACGCGUGAGCAACUUGCCCGUUUCUGGGGAAUAACCGGUGGAAACGCCGACUAAUACCCCAUAGCAUCAACUUAUGGCAUCCUUAGUUGAUUAAAGAAUUUCGGAAACGGAUAGGCUCGCGUGACAUUAGCUGGAUGGCGGGGUAACGGCCCACCAUGGCUACGAUGUCUAGGGGUUCUGAGAGGAAGGUCCCCCACACUGGAACUGAGACACGGUCCAG
rnacentral:rRNA from 1 species